rnacentral:lncRNA from 1 species
AUCCAGGAUUCGAGUCCAGCUAGGGCGGGUUGACUGUUGACCAUUGACCAUCGACAGCUGACCGUCGACAAUCGUAAUAGGUCCGAUCGUUUAUUAAAUGGUAAAAAGUCAAAAUCGUAUACAUAUGAAAAUAUACUUCAAUACAACUCAAAAUAGUAAAAAAAUAUACGAUACAACCUUACUCAAAAUCGUAAAUAUUAUAUUAAUCAAUGCUCAACAUCAACAACUCACAGUAGGCAGUGCCGAAGACGCAGUAGCAGGGCAAAAUAAAAUAGAACAAAAUCUAAAUAACCAAAAGAAAAUAGAACAAAACCAAAACAGAAAAAUAAAUAAAUAAAUAAAGAGGGAAAGAAAGAGUUACCAAUGGCAGUCUAAGACUCUGAGGUAGUUCGUAGUGAGGUGGGGUCGAGAAUAGAGUCUAGAACUAGAACUAGAAGGCAACAGCUGGUCAGCGGUCACGAUUCGUUCGGCGUUCACUGCAGCAAACGACUUCUGCGGUCGACUCGAAAUCGCGGGUCUUUGUGGCAGCAAGCAUUGGAGCAGUUGAGGCACUGAAAGAUCAAGGAGUUUGCAGGUGGAAUUAUCAUUUAAGAUUACUUCAUAAUCAAGCCAAGAAGAAUCUCAAAUCCUAUUAUCAGACUCAAAUUCUACCUCCAACUGGAAAAUUUUAUUCUUCUACUGCUACUGCUGUUGUUGGGAAGAUGAAGAGAAGCGAAAAAUCUAUGGAAAAAGUGAUGGAUUUGAGUUG